CAGCCGCCGCGGUAAGACGGAGGGUGCUAGCGUUGUUCGGAAUCACUGGGCGUAAAGGGCGCGUAGGCGGCCUGUUAAGUCGGAUGUGAAAGCCCGGGGCUCAACCCCGGAACUGCAUCCGAGACUGGCAGGCUUGAGACCGGGAGAGGAGGGUGGAAUAUCCAGUGUAGAGGUGAAAUUCGUAGAUAUUGGAUGGAACACCGGUGGCGAAAGCGGCUCUCUGGCCCGGAUCUGACGCUGAGGCGCGAAAGCGUGGGGAGCAAACAGGAUUAGAUACCCGGGUAGUCCCUGUCUCUUAUAC
rnacentral:rRNA from 1 species